GACUGCACCGGUCGUCUAGUGGUCUGAGCGUCCGCUUCCUAUGCGGGAGGUAGUUGGUUCGAACCCCAACCGAGUCA